AUUGAACGCUGGCGGCAGGCCUAACACAUGCAAGUCGAGCGGAUGACGGGAGCUUGCUCCUUGAUUCAGCGGCGGACGGGUGAGUAAUGCCUAGGAAUCUGCCUGGUAGUGGGGGACAACGUUUCGAAAGGAACGCUAAUACCGCAUACGUCCUACGGGAGAAAGCAGGGGACCUUCGGGCCUUGCGCUAUCAGAUGAGCCUAGGUCGGAUUAGCUUGUUGGUGAGGUAAUGGCUCACCAAGGCGACGAUCCGUAACUGGUCUGAGAGGAUGAUCAGACACACUGGAACUGAGACACGGUCCAGACUCCUACGGGAGGCAGCAGUGGGGAAUAUUGGACAAUGGGCGAAAGCCUGAUCCAGCCAUGCCGCGUGUGUGAAGAAGGUCUUCGGAUUGUAAAGCACUUUAAGUUGGGAGGAAGGGUUGUAGAUUAAUACUCUGCAAUUUUGACGUUACCGACAGAAUAAGCACCGGCUAACUCUGUG
rnacentral:rRNA from 1 species